CUAUGAUUCAUAAUUACAAGCUAUGCAGACUGGUCCAAAUCUAAGACCAAAGGAUAUAAAACCUACAAUAUCCUAUUUAGUUUAGAAAAACGUCGCCUGAGAGGGGAUAUGAUAACAUUAUACAAAUAGAUUCGGGGCCAAUACAAACCACUGCGUGGAAAUCUAUUCACAAACCGGACUUUACAUAGGACACAGGGUCAUGUAUUUAGACUGGAAGAAAGAAGAUUUUGUCUAAGGCAAAGGAAAGGUUUUUUUUACUGUAAGAACAAUAAGGAUGUGGGAUUCUCUGUCUGAAGAAGUAGUUUUAUCAGAGUCCAUACAGAUGUUCAAACAGCUACUAGAUGCAUACUUGCAAAAACAGAAUAUUCAAGGAUAUAAUCUUUCAAUGUAGGGCAAUAACUGCUUGAUCCAAGCAUAAACCUGACUGCCAUUCUGGG